rnacentral:ncRNA from 1 species
AGCUCCGCAAGCUAAGAGGGAAUCGGGUGAAAAUCCCGGACAGACCCGCUCCUGUAAGUGAAGAAAAGGCCUGUUCAGUUCUAAACCACUGAAGCGAACGCUUUGGGAAGGUGAACAGCGCAAACACAAGUCAGUAGACCUGCCAAUGCCAAU